rnacentral:rRNA from 1 species
UACGUAGGGGGCAAGCGUUAUCCGGAUUUACUGGGUGUAGAGGGAGCGUAGACGGCAGCGCAAGUCUGGAGUGAAAUGCCGGGGCCCAACCCCGGAACUGCUUUGGAAACUGUGCGGCUCGAGUGCGGGAGAGGUAGGCGGAAUUCCUAGUGUAGCGGUGAAAUGCGUAGAUAUUAGGAGGAACACCAGUGGCGAAGGCGGCUUACUGGACCGUAACUGACGUUGAGGCUCGAAAGCGUGGGGAGCAAACAGG